rnacentral:misc_RNA from 1 species
AACGCACCUUGCGCUCCUUGGUAUUCCGAGGAGCAUGCCUGUUUGAGUGUCAUAAUAUUCUCAACCUUGAUCACUUUUGCGAGUGAAUUUUUAAGGCUUGGAUUAUGGGAGUUUGCGGGCUUUUCUUUAUAAGAAGAUCCCGCUCUUCUAAAAUAUAUUAGUGGGAUCUCUAACCGAUCAUCUUUUAGUAUGAUAAUUAUCUAUACUAUUAGACUCGGUUUACCUUGUAUCAAAGGGGGAGAAGGACUCUGCUACUAACCGUCUUUUGUUAAGACAGUAUACAUGACAUUUUGACCUCAAAUCAGGUAGGACUACCCGCUGAACUUAA